CAUAAAAAUAAGUUUUUCGUUUAUAAACGUUAAUUUUAUAUAUUUUUACUAAUCAAGUUUUUUUGUUAAUAAUAAUAAAUUAAAAAUAUAGAUUUUGAAUAUUAUUGAUAAAACUAUAAAAAUAUAUGGCUUUGAAAGAUGUGAACAAUAAAAAAAUGGAAACCCGACUUUGAAUUUGUGGAAUUACAUACAUAGGUCCGAAGUGAAGAUUUCUUGAAAUUACAAAAGGAUCCCAGGUUCCGAAACAAACUCUAUGAGAAAUACAUAUAUAUAUAUAUAUGUAUGUAUAAAUAUUUGUAUUUGAAAAUAUAUACAUAUAUAAGCCGCAGCAGUAAAAUAAUCAGCUUCAUUGUAGAACUGCAAAAAUUUGCAUAGCAAAGGCACUGUGCAACAACGCCGACUUCAGACAAAAUAAAACAAAGUGCAAGAAUGGGAAUUCAAGCAAAAGGAAUAAAAAUACGACGCAACAAAAUAAUACUGUACAAAGGCGAACUUAUGUCAAUUGUAAAUUAAGCGUGGAAAUGAGCAAGUACUGGCGCAUGCCACAUGCAACAUGAUUCCACUGGCAAAAGGCAAAGUAACUGGCUAACACCAUAGUUAACCGCCAGACGCGCUAAAGAACUGAAAAGCUGUUUAACGAGAGGCAACGACACAAAAGAGUGGCGAGUUUAUGAAAAAAAAAAAAAUGCCAAACAAAAGCGAAAAGGAGUUCCUAUACAAACAUGUUAAUACAAAUUUACAUAUCUCCUAGUUUGUAUGUACAUAUAUUCAUAUGUACCAAUAUGCAUGAGCAUAUCAUUCCCUGCAACAACGAAUAUAUUUGCGUGUUUCAGCGGCAGCAUGUGUUUAUAUGAGUAUUAUGCGCCUGGAAAUUUACACAUUUCAGGGUUAACGGUGUUGAUAAAUGUGUUGCAGUUGAGUGUAUAAAAAUUUACUUCAUAUCAAAUCACCAGAGAAUUGUGUACCUCUAUUCACAAAUGCGAUUGCUUUGAAGUGAUUUAAAAAGAGCUGGUGGUACUCUUUAAUAUCUCCAAACAAAAUCAAAGGGCGUAUCAGUUUCACAUCAUUUAUGUGAUAGAUGAAGUCGCGUAACUCGCAGAAAGUUUACUUGACUAUAAAAUAUUAUCAUGAAGUGGCGGGCAAAAUAAAUAGUUACGACCAUACAUAUGAAGUCGUGGGAGUCGAUGGCAAAAAUCAGAUGAACUAUGAAUGGAGAGGUUGAGGAAGGCUCUAUUGAGCAGUGAGCAAAGUAAAGUGAGUAAUAAUGUAAUAAUUAUUUUACUCGCCAUUAUCUCGGUGGUAUAUAUAUUUAUGAUUCUAAAAUCUACGAGUAUAUGUCUAUAUAUCAUAUCAUAGUCUCCACAGAUUAUAUAUCCUUUCAUGUUGGAAAAUAUACUUUACUUUCGAGGGCGAAGAUUUCUUCCUUGUGUCCAAAAUUCUUAUCAAGGGUUGGUACUAAAAUUGGAUCUGCCAAAAAUUGGCCAAGAAGAAUUUUCUGAAAUGUGCGCUCACUUAAUUGUUGUUGCUCUUAUUGUAAAGAACACACAAAUCUGUUAAGUACUACCAUUGCCAUUAUCUAACUCGAGAUUCAGAAAACGUGUUUAUUGGUCAAGGUUCAAUCUUAGAGAAGGAGGAUCGCAUUUCAGUUAGCUCUUCUCGUCUUAGGUCAUUGCUUUGAUAAUCUACCAAACCAACUUGAGCACGUUCACAACCCGAUUAGCUGUUCCCCAUACAUAUCGGGAACCUAUCUCUAUUGGUUGGUUGGUUGAAAAGGGAGGCGAAGAGAGCCUGCUCGCAAGCGGCCGCACUUAGGCCCAUUGUGCUCUCCAAAGGUACCCUGAUAAGCGACACCUGAACAACUCGGUCGAUUUAACGAAGCUUCUGAGUUUAUUUCAUCCCUGCUGCCCAAUUUCUCUCAGAUUAGAGUAAUGGGAGCCAUGGAAGGUAUCUCUUCUUAACCGACAGAAGGCCGGGUAUUCGCAGAGAUAAUGCUCGAGUGUCUCGUUAACUUCCGCGCACGCUCUGCCGAUUCUACUAGUCUCUCAAGUCUCUGCAGGUGGCCUCUUAGAGGUAUCUCUGUUAAUAAUGCCAUUCCUUUCCAUGACCUACUUUGUAGUACAACUGUAUUGUUGUUAGAAAUCUAUCAAGGAAACCUCUCAAGAAUCUGUUGUUCAGCAACAUAAUUUUAGAGCUCUAUAAUCAUUUCUUUUAAAUAAAAUCGAGGAAUUUUGGUACGACAAUUUUAUGAGUUUAUUUCAUCCCUGCUGCCCAAUUUCUCUCAGAUUAGAGUAAUGGGAGCCAUGGAAGGAAUCUCUUCUUAACCGACAGAAGGCCGGGUAUUCGCAGAGAUAAUGCUCGAGUGUCUCGUUAACUUCCGCGCACGCUCUGCCGAUUCUACUAGUCUCUCAAGUCUCUGCAGGUGGCCUCUUAGAGGUAUCUCUGUUAAUAAUGCCAUUCCUUUCCAUGACCUACUUUGUAGUACAACUGUAUUGUUGUAAGUCCAAAAUAGAUGUAAUUGUUGUUAGAAAUCUAUCAAUGAAACCUCUCAAGAAUCUAUUGUUCAGCAACAUAAUUUUAGAGCUCUAUAAGCAUUUCUUUUAAAUACAAUCCAGCAAUUUUGGUACGACAGUUGUUGUGACCCGCUUCAUACUCAAAAUAUCAUCCAUAUUGCAAGUCCAUCCACAAAACAUGUUGAGAGGGUAUGUUUUAUAUCACUAACAACAACUUGACAAUUUUUUUCAUACAAUUUUCUCAUAUUUGCGGUUUUUGAGGCUUUUAAGACAGUUAUAUAUAAUAUAUUUCUCAAGACCUCGAUUGAAUUAUAUAUUUUUUUAAAUUUAAUUUUAUGUAGUUUCAUAUAAAUCCACUAUAAGGAAGAAGUUUCCAGUUAAGUAAGUUUGAAUGUUUUUAAGUACUUGGAAAGUAAUCAUCAUUACAAUAGCGAAGCUUAACUUUUCCGCGGCCACUCAAACCGCAAUUUGUUUUAUAACAAAAUUCACGAAAACAAACAAACAAACAUAUAACGUUAAGUAUACCGUUAUAAUACAUACGAGUAUAUAUAAUAUAUAUAUCCUAUAUAUACACUUAUAGUCCACACAUAGCAGUCGUGCUGGCAUAAAACACUUGGGCAGUAAAUUUUUAUAUCGAAACCAAUCAAAGGCUUAUUGCUCCCACAUUCAUCUUUGACAGUCGCACUUCAGUGCAGCCAACAUAGCUACAUACUACCACAUAUAAUGAAAUAUUACCAACACACACACACACAAAAGCGAGAGAAGAAAAGAAACUCGAAGCACAGCGAAAUUAUUGCCCACAGUUAAUCUUCUGACAACAGCAAAAGACGAAUCAACGAAGCAAACGCAGUAAGCGAGCCUUAAGCCUCAAGUACCGCCUGGCGGUCAUUUAUUGUGCAACUACAACAACAAAUAACACAGAAAAUAGUUAUAGUAAUGUUCGCACAUUAUCACAAAAGUUGCAACGUGACAUACGCUGUCUGGGGUUGGAAGAGAGGUGAAGCGCAGGAGUAUAUCCACUGCCCUCCUAGUGGAGUAAAAUGAGACGUUUCGUAAUAUCCUGACCCAGCACACACAUACACUCAUCGUUGAGCUCCUUUAGUUUAAGGUUCCACAACAACAUUGAAACGCUCAGGUUUAUUGCUGUUAUUGUUGUUGUUGUUGUGAUUUUUUAUUGUUUAUUUGUGCUUGCGCUGUUGGCAAAUGUAUUUCUGUUUCCGACUUUUAAUUUAUGUUUCAAUUCCAAUUAGCUAAGAAAGCGCAUUUUCUCUAUGGCAUGCCGUUUCUGCGACCAUCAACGAACGAGCGAACGUUGAAAAUUAGUUCGAUGCAAUGGCGCGCGAAUGCUAGAGGUGCAAGUGACGAAGAUAAAGAAUCGUCGUUGGGUGGGAAAAAGGUAGUGCAGGCAUUUAGGCGAGUGCAAUGGCAUAUAGUGGUCUCGUAGGGAAAUUACCAAUGAGGAACUCGAACUUUUUCAGUUAAAAGUGGAUGCGCCAAAAUGUAGGCAACAAUUUUCUAAGUAGUUCUUUGUAGACUGAAUUAAUUUCAUACGCUCUCGAGAGUAUUUCUCAAUUUUAGACAUGAAUAAGUGGUUCGAUGACUUCUUUUGAAUUUUUAUUAGAGAAAAUGUCAUCUUCAAGAGACCUAUGACUUUAAUGGGUUAAAAAGUGAAUAUCCCUAUGUCUCUCUUACUCUCCAUGUAGAUAACAAAUAAAGCUAUGAUAUAUGAUAAAUUCAACCUUUUCUUUUUCAAUAACAUCUCUUUCUUAUUCUCUUCCACAAAAUGUUCAGAUUUUUCCUACUAGGUAUACACCAUAUAACGGUCGUAAAGUAGGACUUCAAUGUCUUGUGUAUAAUUGACUUUUCUACUUUUGUUCAUUUCACACACUAAACGUCAUUUGUAAUUGGAUACAAUAACAUUAAGAAAAGAACAAUAGAAAUGUAGCAAUAAGGCAGACGAUAACAAAGUGGCCACGGCAAUCAGGACUUAAGCUUGAUUGUACAUUUUUAUAGACACAUAAUAUGUAUUUGUAUAUAAUUAUGAGAACUGGUGAUGAUUAGCAAUUAUAGUAGACAGGUCGUGGAAUAUAUAGUAGAGAAAGCUUUUUUCUUCACUACUCAGAAAAGGAGAGAAUUAAAAUUAUUAUUAAUUGGAAACACUAUCGAAAGCUAAAUAUUUGUUCAAGUGAUUAAGAAAAAAGUCUGCUGUAGUGUCUUAAAGUCCUAGUAGAAGACAGUUAGAUUAUGCGUCAAUGCUUGCUCCUCUAUAAAAAAUUUCUAAGUUUAUUGAGAAAUAUUUACUAGAUUCAAGAUAACUUAUACCAAGCUGACCUAUGCAGUCCUAUGCUGUCUUUCUUUGGUCUAGGAUUACAAUUUUAUUAUUUUAUAUAAUUUAUUUCUCCUUGAACAUAUUAAGUACCUUAUUUUCCUUAU